AAGGCAUGGUGUGGGCAUUUUCUAAGAAUUUCUUUGUACAAUUUUCAAACUUCAUAGAGUGAUUCACCCUUCUUUUGGAAAAAAGAAUUUAUGUCAUUCCUCAACCG